GACGAACGCUGGCGGCGUGCCUAAUACAUGCAAGUAGAACGCACAGUUUAUACCGUAGCUUGCUACACCAUAGACUGUGAGUUGCGAACGGGUGAGUAACGCGUAGGUAACCUGCCUGGUAGCGGGGGAUAACUAUUGGAAACGAUAGCUAAUACCGCAUAAUAUUGAUUAUUGCAUGAUAAUUGAUUGAAAGAUGCAACUGCAUCACUACCAGAUGGACCUGCGUUGUAUUAGCUAGUAGGUGAGGUAACGGCUCACCUAGGCGACGAUACAUAGCCGACCUGAGAGGGUGAUCGGCCACACUGGGACUGAGACACGGCCCAGACUCCUACGGGAGGCAGCAGUAGGGAAUCUUCGGCAAUGGACGAAAGUCUGACCGAGCAACGCCGCGUGAGUGAAGAAGGUUUUCGGAUCGUAAAGCUCUGUUGUAAGAGAAGAACGGGUGUGAGAGUGGAAAGUU
rnacentral:rRNA from 1 species